UACAGAGGGUGCGAGCGUUGUCCGGAAUCACUGGGCGUAAAGGGCGCGUAGGUGGUUUGAUAAGGGUGUGGUGAAAGUCCGGAGCUCAACUCCGGAUCUGCCGUGCCGACUGUCAAACUCGAGGGCUGUAGAGGCAGACGGAAUUCCGGGUGUAGCGGUGGAAUGCGUAGAGAUCCGGAGGAAGACCGGUGGCGAAGGCGGUCUGCUGGGCAGUUUCUGACACUGAGGCGCGACGAGCGUGGGGAGCAAACAGG
rnacentral:rRNA from 1 species